UACGUAGGUGGCAAGCGUUGUCCGGAUUUACUGGGCGUAAAGAGCGCGCAGGCGGUCGUUCAAGUCGCGUGUGAAAGCCCCCGGCUCAACUGGGGAGGGUCACGCGAUACUGAUCGACUCGAAGGCAGGAGAGGGUAGUGGAAUUCCCGGUGUAGUGGUGAAAUGCGUAGAUAUUCGGAAGAACACCAGUGGCGAAGGCGACUCACUGGACAACUGUUGACGCUGAGGUGCGAAAGCGUGGGGAGCAAACAGG
rnacentral:rRNA from 1 species